rnacentral:rRNA from 1 species
CCUACGGGCGGCUGCAGUAGGGAAUAUUGCUCAAUGGGGGAAACCCUGAAGCAGCAACGCCGCGUGGAGGAUGAAGGUUUUCGGAUUGUAAACUCCUUUUGUUAGAGAAGAUAAUGACGGUAUCUAACGAAUAAGCACCGGCUAACUCCGUGCCAGCAGCCGCGGUAAUACGGAGGGUGCAAGCGUUACUCGGAAUCACUGGGCGGAAAGAGCGCGUAGGCGGGAUAGCAAGUCAGAUGUGAAAUCCUAUGGCUUAACCAGAGAACUGCAUUUGAAACUGUUAUUCUAGAGUAUGGGAGAGGUAGGUGGAAUUCUUGGUGUAGGGGUAAAAUCCGUAGAGAGCAAGAGGAAUACUCAUUGCGAAGGCGACCUGCUAGAACAUAACUGACGCUGAUGCGCGAAAGCGUGGGGAGCAAACAGGAUUAGAUACCCCUGUAGUC